CAAUAGCGUAUAUUAAAGUUGUUGCGGUUAAAAGCUCGUAGUUGGAUUUCUGCUGAGGACGACCGGUCCGCCCUCCGGGUGAGCAUCUGGUUCGGCCUUGGCAUCUUCUUGGUGAACGUAUCUGCACUUGACUGUGUGGUGCGGUACCCAGGACUUUUACUUUGAGGAAAUUAGAGUGUUUCAAGCAGGCAUACGCCUUGAAUACAUUAGCAUGGAAUAAUAAGAUAGGACCUCGGUUCUAUUUUGUUGGUUUCUAGAGCUGAGGUAAUGAUUAAUGAGGGAUGAGUUGGGGCAUUCGUUAUUAACUGUCAGAGGUGAAAUUCUUGGAUUUCCGAAAGACGAACUACUGCGAAAGCAUUUACCAAGGAUGUUUUCAUUAAUCAAGAACGAAAGUUAGGGGAUCGAAGACGAUCAGAU
rnacentral:rRNA from 1 species